UACGUAGGGGCAAGCGUUGUCCGGAAUCAUUGGGCGUAAAGAGCGUGUAGGCGGCCCGGUAAGUCCGCUGUGAAAGUCCAGGGCUCAACCCUGGGAUGCCGGUGGAUACUGUCGGGCUCGAGUCCGGAAGAGGAGUGUGGAAUUCCGUGGUGUAGCGGUGAAAUGCGCAGAUAUCAGGAGGAACACCAAUGGCGAAGGCAGCACUCUGGGACGUGACUGACGCUGAGACGCGAAAGCGUGGGGAGCAAACAGG
rnacentral:rRNA from 1 species